UUUAGACAUUAUGAACCAUAUGACCAAGACUGAAAAUCAUCAAUAAAACACAAGUGGAUUGAUAGCUCCAACACCAAUUAAGCAGACCUGAGCAGCUGAUCAAGGAUCACCAGAAACUCUGCAGAACUUCAGUACCCAGUCCUCAAUAAGUCCUCAAUACCCAGGACUGGAAACCAGAGUUCUAAAUAAAACCAAAGUCCAUUCAGCCACAGGUCACUGCAUCUUUUGCUGUAUGCUGGAGAAAAAGCAGCCAGGCUGAAGCAUUUAAAGUGGAAACUUUUGUCGUGGCUCAAAAAUCCAGGAUUGGGAUGGUGGAAGGAGCAGAAGAAGCAGAAGAUCAGAGAUCAGGCAGAGAUCUACUGAUG